UUUCAAUUGAAAAGUAUGGUAAUUGUAUUUACUCAUUAAAUAUGAAAGUUUUCUAAAAUACAACUUGAAAACAUCCAGCACGCAUGUUUAGUAUCAGUACAAUGAAUUCAAGACCAAGUAUACAUGUUACAUGCAGCAAGGCUAAAUUACAAAUUAUCAUAAUCAUCUUCUUCACGCUUUUUCAAUGCAUUUGAUGAUUCAUUGGCAGUAUUUUGUGAUAACACCGUAUUAGUGGUAAUAAGAAGCUUUUGGACCCAAUUAAUGAUGGAUUAAUCAGAACAUUCUGAACUGCUGAUGUUGCAGGAAUUGAAGAUUUUACAGCUGGAGACUGUGAAGUAGGCAUCUGUACUGUAAACCUUUGCCCUGUGAGGGACACGGGAGUCCCUACUUUAGUUGAAACAGACAUGGUCUGUGGGGUUGGUGUGCCUAGUGUGGGAGUACUUGGUCUGCUAGCAACUGAACCAACACUUAACUGCGGGACUGUUACUCUUCCCGUGGAAGUUGAUGCCUUUUUCUGUAAAGAUUUCAGCCUAUAAUUUGGA
rnacentral:lncRNA from 1 species